rnacentral:lncRNA from 10 species
AACUAACCAGAAUCGUAAUGAGACAAAACAUUUGUGCAGCAAAAUUUACAUUCUAAAAGCCAACAGUAGCCAAAAUAGAACCAAUUUCUUAGCUGAGUUCUACAAUAUUAAUUUGUUCUAGCAUAUUGUAUUGGUUCAUUAUUUUACUAUUCAGGUGGUCUGUUUGAAUGAAGUCUUUUUUCUAGUAGUUAAAAGCACAGGCUCUGGAGUCACACUUCUUGUGCUCAAAUUCUGCCUCUGCCACUUCCCAACUGUGUGGCUGUAGGCAAUAAUAACAGCACCUCCUUAUUAUAAAUCUUGUGGGUUGAAAUGAGAUUAUGUAUAUGAAGCACUCAGCAAGUGCCUUGCACAGAGGAAACACUCAAUAAUUGUUAGCUAUUGGGUUUAAACCAUAAAAGUUUUCCCUAUAGUUAUGAGCAAUGCUAGUAGUUGCUACUUGAACAGUUUGUUAAAGUAGGGAUUCAUUAUAAAUGAUGCAUGCCAUUUUAAAAAACAUUUAUGAAAAAAUAUGCCAAAUCCUCCCAGAUUUUUGUUUUUCUUUUAUGGUCUUU